rnacentral:rRNA from 1 species
CUUCGGAGCAGGGGAGGACAGGUGGUGGCAUGGUUGUCGUCAGCUCGUGUCGUGAGAUGUUGGGUUAAGUCCCGCAACGAGCGCAACCCUCGACCUUAGCUGCCAGCAUUCAGUUGGGCACUCUAAGGUGACUGCCGGCUAAAAGUCGGAGGAAGGUGGGGAUGACGUCAAAUCAUCAUGCCCCUUAUGACCUGGGCUACACACGUGCUACAAUGGGCGGUACAAAGGGUCGCGAACCCGCGAGGGGGAGCCAAUCCCAAAAAGCCGCUCUCAGUUCGGAUUGCAGGCUGCAACUCGCCUGCAUGAAGCCGGAAUCGCUAGUAAUCGCGGAUCAGCAUGCCGCGGUGAAUACGUUCCCGGGCCUU